UACGGAGGGUGCUAGCGUUGUUCGGAAUUACUGGGCGUAAAGCGCGCGUAGGCGGCUUUGUAAGUUAGAGGUGAAAGCCCAGGGCUUAACCCUGGAAUUGCCUUUAAGACUGCAUCGCUAGAAUCGUGGAGAGGUGAGUGGAAUUCCGAGUGUAGAGGUGAAAUUCGUAGAUAUUCGGAAGAACACCAGUGGCGAAGGCGACUCCCUGGACACGUAUUGACGCUGAGGUGCGAAAGCGUGGGGAGCAAACAGG
rnacentral:rRNA from 1 species